rnacentral:rRNA from 1 species
UACGAAGGGGGCUAGCGUUGCUCGGAAUCACUGGGCGUAAAGCGCACGUAGGCGGAUUGCUAAGUCAGGGGUGAAAUCCUGGGAGCUCAACUCCAGAACUGCCUUUGAUACUGGCGAUCUCGAGUCCGGGAGAGGUGAGUGGAACUGGCGAGUGUAGAGGUGAAAUUCGUAGAUAUUCGCAAGAACACCAGUGGCGAAGGCGGCUCACUGGCCCGGUACUGACGCUGAGGUGCGAAAGCGUGGGGAGCAAACAGGG